AGUGAACGCUGGCGGUAGGCCUAACACAUGCAAGUCGAACGGCAGCACAGUAAGAGCUUGCUCUUACGGGUGGCGAGUGGCGGACGGGUGAGGAAUACAUCGGAAUCUACUUUUUCGUGGGGGAUAACGUAGGGAAACUUACGCUAAUACCGCAUACGACCUACGGGUGAAAGCAGUGGAUCUUCGGACCUUGCGCGAUUGAAUGAGCCGAUGUCGGAUUAGCUAGUUGGCGGGGUAAAGGCCCACCAAGGCGACGAUCCGUAGCUGGUCUGAGAGGAUGAUCAGCCACACUGGAACUGAGACACGGUCCAGACUACUGCGGGAGGCAGCAGUGGGGAAUAUUGGACAAUGGGCGCAAGCAUGAUCCAGCCAUACCGCGUGGGUGAAGAAGGCCUUCGGGUUGUAAAGCCCUUUUGUUGGGAAAGAAAAGCAGCAGGUUAAUACCCCGCUGUUCUGACGGUACCCAAAGAAUAAGCACCGGCUAACUUCGUG
rnacentral:rRNA from 1 species